GAUGAAGAACGUAGUGAAAUGCGAUAAUUAAUGUGAAUUGCAGAAUUCAGUGAAUCAUCGAGUCUUUGAACGCACAUUGCGCCCCCUGGUAUUCCGGGGGGCAUGCCUGUCCGAGCGUCAUUGCUGCCCUCAAGCACGGCUUGUGUGUUGGGCUUCCGUCCCUGGCAACGGGGACGGGCCCAAAAGGCAGUGGCGGCACCAUGUCUGGUCCUCGAGCGUAUGGGGCUUUGUCACCCGCUCCCGUAGGUCCAGCUGGCAGCUAGCCUCGCAACCAAUCUUUUUAACCAGGUUGACCUCGGAUCAGGUAGGAAUACCCGCUGAACUUAAGCAUAUCAAUAAGCGGAGGA
rnacentral:misc_RNA from 1 species